rnacentral:rRNA from 1 species
UACGUAGGGGGCAAGCGUUAUCCGGAUUCACUGGGUGUAAAGGGAGCGUAGACGGCCAUGCAAGCCUGGAGUGAAAGCCCGGGGCCCAACCCCGGGACUGCUCUGGGAACUGUGCGGCUGGAGUGCGGGAGGGGCAGGCGGAAUUCCUGGUGUAGCGGUGAAAUGCGUAGAUAUUAGGAGGAACACCAGUGGCGAAGGCGGCCUGCUGGGCUUUAACUGACGCUGAGGCUCGAAAGCGUGGGGAGCAAACAGG